rnacentral:piRNA from 1 species
UGGUACUGACACAGCCCUUGUCUCUGGUAU